rnacentral:rRNA from 1 species
AUUGAACGCUGGCGGAAUGCUUUACACAUGCAAGUCGAACGGCAGCACGGACUUCGGUCUGGUGGCGAGUGGCGAACGGGUGAGUAAUGUAUCGGAACGUGCCCAGUCGUGGGGGAUAACGCAGUGAAAAUUACGCUAAUACCGCAUACGAUCUAUGGAUGAAAGCGGGGGAUCGCAAGACCUCGCGCGAUUGGAGCGGCCGAUAUCAGAUGAGGUAGUUGGAGGGGUAAAGGCCCACCAAGCCAACGAUCUGUAGCUGGUCUGAGAGGACGACCAGCCGCACUAGCACUGAGACACGGUCCAGACUCCUAAGGGAGGCAGAAGUGGGAAAUUUUGGACAAUGGGCGAAAGCCUGAUCCAGCCAUUCCGCGUGCAGGAUGAAGGCCCUCGGGUUGUAAACUGCUUUUGUACAGAACGAAAAGGUUUCUACUAAUACUAGGAGCUCAUGACGGUACCGUAAGAAUAAGCACCGGCUAACUACGUGCCAGCAGCCGCCGUAA